UACGUAGGGGGCAAGCGUUGUCCGGAUUUAUUGGGCGUAAAGAGCGUGUAGGCGGCCAUACAGGUCAACUGUGAAAACUCGAGGCUCAACCUCGAGACGUCGGUUGAAACCGUAUGGCUAGAGUCCGGAAGAGGAGAGUGGAAUUCCCGGUGUAGCGGUGAAAUGCGCAGAUAUCGGGAAGAACACCCGUGGCGAAGGCGGCUCUCUGGGACGGUACUGACGCUGAGACGCGAAAGCGUGGGGAGCGAACAGG
rnacentral:rRNA from 1 species